GACGAACGCUGGCGGCAUGCCUAAUACAUGCAAGUCGAGCGAACAGAUGAAGUGCUUGCACUUCUGACGUUAGCGGCGAACGGGUGAGUAACACGUAAGGAAUCUACCUAUAAGCGGGGGAUAACAUUCGGAAACGGGUGCUAAUACCGCAUAAUAUCUUCUUCCGCAUGGAAGAAGAUUGAAAGACGGCUCUGCUGUCACUUAUAGAUGACCUUGCGGUGCAUUAGUUAGUUGGUGGGGUAACGGCCUACCAAGACGAUGAUGCAUAGCCGACCUGGGAGGGUGAUCGGCCACAUGGGGACUGAGACACGGCCCAAACUCCUACGGGAGGCAGCAGUAGGGAAUCUUCCGCAAUGGGCGAAGGCCUGACGGAGCAAUGCCGCGUGAGUGAAGGAGGCCUUCGGGUCGUAAAACUCUGUUAUAAGAGAAGAACAAAUUGUAGAGUAACUGCUACAGUCUUGACGGUAUCUUAUCAGAAAGCCACGGCUAACUACGUGCCAGCAGCCGCCGUAA
rnacentral:rRNA from 1 species